rnacentral:tRNA from 1 species
AGGCACGUAGCUCAGCUGGGAGAGCGCUACCCUGACACGGUAGAGGUCGUUGGUUCAAGCCCAAUCGCGCCUA